UAAGAGAAAACGGGGAGCCUGUCCGGCAGGCUGAGAGGAAAGGAAGUUUCGACCCGCAACCUGAUUUGGGUAAUGCCAACGUAGGGAAAUAGUGAGACAAAUCC
rnacentral:ncRNA from 2 species